rfam:Capsicum annuum cultivar Zunla-1 chromosome 10, whole genome shotgun sequence
AGAAGUCGACAAAAUAAAUCCAUAACUUUGGUAAAAGAAUUGGCUUUGAGGGUUGGGCACAGGGGUCCCAGUCCCGAAGCUGUUGGCUGUCAAUGGACUGCUCGAGAUACUCCCCUGAUUAGAGUGGGUCGCCAUGUGUAGGCCAGGGGACGAGCUAGGAACGGUUCCUUUGAGGGCUUAAAAAUGGUGCGAACAAGGAGAAUUCAAUUGUUUAAUUAAAAUAAAGCAUUGCGAUAGUCCCAACGGAUGUUCACGCAAUGUGAUUUCUUUUAGUUGUUAUUUUUACUUCUUAUUCUAUAUUUUUGUAUAAAAGAAUUUUUUAUUAUU